UUGAUUUGGCUGGGUCAUAAUUAUGGGUUAUUUGGGUACUGUAAACACACUGGUGGGUUGUUCAUGCUGGGUCAAAGGGGUUAUUAGGGCUUCAAUUGCAGUUGAACACCCGCCUGGGUUAUUUUUAACCCAGAGGUUGCUUUAUUCAUUUUCCCACUUCUGAAUCAUUCUGGAAUCAUCUUUUUCAAAACACAAGGUAUGUAACCUAUAUUUUACCUAUAUUUAUAUAAUUAUACAAUUCUGUAACCUAUAUUUUUUUAAUGAGUUGUGAUAACAGUUCAAUAGGGAUCUGUAGGCAUUUAACAGACUGUGCAAAGUAUAACAUUAGCAGUUAACGUCGGCUACAAAUGUUUUACAUUUCUGUCAAUGAGUGAAAGAGCCUUGAAUUUACGUUGUGAUGCGAUGAAUUAUUAUUUUACAAAGACGUGUGUUCUACUAGUAGUUAUAAAUGGGUCUGAACUAUAGCUUUGGAUUUGUGUGCAAAAGUAUUAGAUGUACAAUAAGGCAGUAUAAAUCAGAUGGCUUUUACGUCACAACUCUCUUUCCCAGCAUGCAGCUCGGGCGCGGGCUUUCACACAUACGGACAGACAGACGACAAAGAAGCUCAUUGAUGUAGUAGAGGGUUUCACCAUGGACACGUUUGUCAGAGACGUUGACUGCAUGGCAGCUUGAGAACUUGAUUGACACAUUUAAAGGGAGCUUGGUACACACCUGGCCGAAAUCACAAACCUGCUACAGGUUUCCUGGAGGAGCGCUUGAGGAACGUCAGGAAGCGCAUGAGAAUGCUGAAACGACCACGCCACCAAGAACAACAGAAGGAACAGACCGUCCCUAGUACACCAGAUAUCACAAGACUUCCAGCAGCUUCAUCCAGAGGCAG